AUUGAACGCUGGUGGCAUGCCUUACACAUGCAAGUCGAACGGCAGCGGACCUUCGGGUGCCGGCGAGUGGCGAACGGGUGAGUAAUAUAUCGGAACGUACCUUUCAGUGGGGGAUAACGUAGCGAAAGUUACGCUAAUACCGCAUAUUCUGUGAGCAGGAAAGCAGGGGAUCGCAAGACCUUGCGCUGAUUGAGCGGCCGAUAUCAGAUUAGCUAGUUGGUGAGUAAAGGCUCACCAAGGCGACGAUCUGUAGCGGGUCUGAGAGGAUGAUCCGCCACACUGGAACUGAGACACGGUCCAGACUCCUACGGGAGGCAGCAGUGGGGAAUUUUGGACAAUGGGCGCAAGCCUGAUCCAGCCAUGCCGCGUGAGUGAAGAAGGCCUU
rnacentral:rRNA from 1 species